GAUGAACGCUGGCGGCGUGCUUAACACAUGCAAGUCGAACGAGAAGUGAAGACGGAAACCUUCGGGCGGAAGGCUUUAUUUCGAGUGGCGGACGGGUGAGUAACGCGUGGGUAACCUGCCUCAUACAGGGGGAUAACAGUUGGAAACGACUGUUAAUACCGCAUAAGACCACAGCACCGCAUGGUGCGGGGGUAAAAACUCCGGUGGUAUGAGAUGGACCCGCGUUCGAUUAGCCAGUUGGCGGGGUAACGGCACACCAAAGCGACGAUCGAUAGCCGAUCUGAGAGGAUGACCGGCCACAUUGGGACUGAGACACGGCCCAAACUCCUACGGGAGGCAGCAGUGGGGAAUAGUGCACAAUGGGGGAAACCCUGAUGCAGCGACGCCGCGUGAGUGAAGAAGUAUUUCGGUAUGUAAAGCUCUAUCAGCAGGGAAGAAAAUGACGGUACCUGAGUAAGAAGCCCCGGCUAACUACGUG
rnacentral:rRNA from 1 species